rnacentral:rRNA from 1 species
GACGAACCGAGCGAACGUUGUUCGGAAUCACUGGGCUUAAAGGGCGCGUAGGCGGGCAUUCAAGUCUGUGAUGAAAUCCUCCAGCUCAACUGGAGAACUGCCAUGGAUACUGGGUGUCUCGAGGGUGGUAGGGGUAUGCGGAACUAUCGGUGGAGCGGUGAAAUGCGUUGAUAUCGAUAGGAACUCCGGUGGCGAAGGCGGCAUACUGGACCACAUCUGACGCUGAGGCGCGAAAGCCAGGGGAGCGAAUGGG